rnacentral:tRNA from 1 species
GCGUCGUUAGCUCAAUUGGUAGAGCAACGGUCUCCAAAACCGUAGGUUGAAGGUUCGAGUCCUUCACGGCGUG